UUCUAUGGCCAUACCACCCUGAAUGUAUCCAAUAUUGUCUGAUCUUAGGAAGCUAAUCAGGGUCAGGCCUGGUUAGUACUUGAAUAAGAGAAUUUUUUAUCUAUGUUCAUCAAAGAUA
rnacentral:rRNA from 1 species